UAACAUUUAUCGCAUGACCUUUCUAAUACUGAUGAUCAAGAGUCAAGACUCUCUCUCUCUCUCUCUCUCCAAGCUCGGAUACUGCUAUUAUUCUUCUGCUGAGCUUCUAAUGCAAUUCUCUUUGGAGGAUUCUGCAAAGAGUGCAUGCCAUGGCAGUGUAGUGUUUUUGUUAUUUGGGUGUGCGAAGAACCCUAUGCAGGCACGAGGGACUUGAUUCCUGAUUUGAAUAUUUUGCCGAGGAACUGGGUGGGCAUUAAGGAGGCUUUUGCGUUUGUUGCAGAGGAAUUACUUGCACUUUGUUUGGUUAUUGCCUCUUUGGCUGAGGAGUUUAUUGGUCUUUUUCUUUUGCAAAAUCUUGGCUGCUUAGAUUGUUUAUUAUCCAGGAAAGGUAAUAGCUUUUUAGUUAUUACAGAGCUUUAUAUCAGAAGUGGUGACUCUCAAAUUUUUAUGAUGAUGAGAAUGAUUGGUCCAUUGUAAACUUAAGUUGCUGUUGAAGUUCUAGAACCCAGAAAGAAAGAUACCAGGAUAAUCCACAGUCAAACUUGGUUUCCAAGUAGAGUUGGCUGCCGACCAAACUGAGGGAGUUUUUAAUCGCUAUAUUAAUGGAUACAAUUCAGAACACAGUUUAUUAUUGUUGCGUUUCAAGGGGUAACAGAGUUUUGUACACCUAUAGUGGUGGAGACCAUGAAGUUGAGAACUUGGCUGUUUUGUGCUUGGAAAAGACUCCCCCGUUCCACAGGUGGUAUUUUGAGACUGUGUGUAAAAGAACUUUUGGGUUUUUUAUGGAAGAUGGGUAUGUGUAUUUCACAAUUGUUGAUGAGGGUCUAGGUAACUCAGGUGUACUUAGAUUUCUAGAACGUGUGAGAGAUGAAUUUAAGAAGAUUGCUAGAAAAGGUUCAAGGGGAAGUUUUUCAAGUACGAGCUCAAUUGGCUUACAGGAGCAGUUAGUGCCUAUCAUCAGGCGCUUGAUCACUACAUUGGAGAAUGUUUCUCAUGGUGGCAGUGAUUGGACUGGUGAAACAACCUCAUCACUUCAUGUAGGUCUGUCUCAAUUACCAAGUAAUGUAAAUGGACAAAUUGAACCUGGUAGUUCUACAAAAUCCCCUUUGUUGGGAAAAUGUAGCAAGCAAGAUAAGAAGGCAAAGGAUAGUGUGGUUGCAAUAAGAGACAUUGAGUUGGAGGAGAACCGAAGAUCUACAGAUAGAGUCGUCAAGGUUGAUUUGGACAGUCUGGAUUCUCAUAAUCAAGGUGGGGUAGGUUCCUCGGUCUCACUACAGAGGGAUUUAGGUUCUAUGAGGAUUAGAUCAGGCUCUCAAAGCAUUCGAAAGAAGUAUUGGCGUCAAAUACGGAUUGUUCUUGCCAUUGACGCAGCUGUCUGUAUAAUACUGUUCGUGAUCUGGCUAUCAAUCUGUCGCGGUAUUUCUUGCGAUCAUUAAAAGGUUUGUCGUUUCUGUCAGAUUUUAAAGAUUAGUUGAAGUUUCAAAGUUAAGUUCGAAAUUGGCACCAUCAUGAUUUGGAAGACAACCAUUCAAAUUUCAAAUUCUUUGAAGAAUAAUAGGCUCGUGCAGAAAGUGAAUGAGGGAAAGCCACGUGCUAAUCUUGUUGAUCAGAUUUUAAUGUAUAACUGAAGGACAUUCUUUAUUUUUUUUAAGGAUAGUGUGUUUUCCUUGUGAACCGAAGACAUCGAGUUAAGAAUGUGUGCGCGCGCGCACAGGACAUACUAACAGCUUUUGUUGAGAAGUAGAACCAUGAAUUCGAUAGUCAAAGCACACACGUGCGCACACAAAUUAUUCAUGUGGCAAGAUCUGCAUUCAAGCCUGACUAUGAUGGUAAUUUUCAUGUGCCUGCCUGCCAACCAGUUCGCCCCUCAUUCCUAGUUACGGUGUAUGCCUUCAUUAAAAUCAGGCAGGCAUGGCAAAGCAGUUUAUUUUUUGUUUUUGUUUUGGAUGCGGUCCGGAGAAGUGUAUUGAGAAUGAUCUUUUAUACCUUUUCCAAAUCAAUGGUGGUCCAAUUGUUGUUGUUGUCUUUUGUUUCCCCCUUAGAUAGGAGCUGGGGAAGCAUAGAGGUUUAUCUCUUUCCUUUCUGAAUUUUAUAUUGAGGCAUCGAAUAGAUUUCCUUGACAGCAGAGCUUUAUAAGUUUUAUUGCCAGUAUGCUUGAAAUAUGUCCUUCGGGGGCCCAGUAACAAGUUCAUCUUCAUUUAUGGUGUGUGUGUGUGUGUUCUAUUAAAUUUCUUCUUCUUGCAGUGCCUUGUUAACUGUCUAUUUUCAACAUGAUCCAUCAGCAAGGGUCUAUGACGUCUGAGUUUGUUGUCUAUAUGCCAAGUCUUUGCAUUCAAUUUAGGGUGCGAAAGAGGAGCUUUUUUUUUUUU